GCGAGGGUGGCGGAAUUGGCAGACGCGCUGGAUUUAGGUUCCAGUGUCCUUUGGAUGUGCAGGUUCGAGUCCUGUCCCUCGCA
rfam:Myxococcales bacterium SG8_38_1 WOR_8-12_16695, whole genome shotgun sequence.